rnacentral:tRNA from 1 species
AAUAAGGUGCCUGAAGCUAAUAAAGGACUAUUUUGAUGGAAUAGAUUAUGUAAAUAAAUUACCCUUAUUA